rnacentral:rRNA from 1 species
CUCAACAAGCCUGGCAGGGUGGCACUCGCUCAGUCUGUCCUCACGGCCAUGGCCACCUUCCACAACAUAGCUCUCAACUUGUCGAAGGGGACUCUUAGAAAGAUCGACAAAAUCAUUCGGGCCUUCAUCUGGCAAAAAGAAGACCAAACUCAGACCUCGGGAGGCCACUCCCUUGUUAACUGGAAGACCGUCUGCCGC